UGAUACUUCAGCUACUUGGCUGUAUGACGCAGAUUUCAAAAAGUUGAUGCUGAUGAGGGGUGAUAUCGUGCCUGCGUGUUUCUGUUUUCGCGCACUUUUGUGUGGUUGUCGAUGCUAACGUGAAGGACGAGUGGCGUCGUGCUUGAUCGAUCCAGCUUUUCUAUAAAAUUAACGUGUUUCUGAUGUUGUGCACAUUGAGUUCUUUUCAAAGCUGACGUGCCAGAUAAAUCCAGCUUUUCUAUAAAAUCACUGGUGAGUGACAUUACCAAACAUCGUAAAACAACGGCUCUUGAGGGAUUGCUACUUUUCCUGCUUGAGAAGUCAGCAAAUUUGCUCAAGAUAUGCCUGGAUACGAAUUCUGUGAACUGCUGCACCAAAGGUGUAAAGAUUGGAAUUCUGACUGUGGAGGAAGAUGAUGUUGCCGGUGUUACAUCGCAGCCCACUGUUAUCAACAUGGCCAUAAUCUUGGAGGAGGCCAUUGUGCUUGAGGACAUUAAAGAUCUUCCAUCUGCAUUUGCAUAUUUGUUUGGCCUCUUAUAUGCAUUUAACAUGGAAUAUCUGAAAGAAUUGAAGUACACUUUUGAAGUCAUCAUGGAUCUAGGUGGUACCUGCUCAGCUAGAGUGCAGUCAUUGAAAUCAAACUUUGCUAAAUGGAUGAAGCCACUUAAAUGACGUUCUUGCGUUGGCUUUUUUUUAAUACUUUUAUACUUAAUGACUACAAAAAACACCUGUUUUCAUUCAGUGUGCUAAUUACUGCUAAGGUUUUUGUUUAUUUGUUUGUUUGAUUGUUUCAGCCUUUGCCUUAAAGGGAAAAUUCACCCAAAAAUGAAAGUUCAUUAUUUACUCACUCUCAUGUUGUUCCAGACCUGUGAUUUUCUUUCUUUUUCUUGAACACAGAAGAAGAUAUUGUGAAGAAAGCUGACAACUAAAGGGUUGACUGUCAUAAUAUUUUAAUCCUGUGGCAGCCAGUCAGUGACUACCUUCAACUGAUCGGUUAUCAGCAUUCUUCACAAUAUCAUCUUCUGUGAUCAAAAGAAGAAAGAAAGUCAGGUUUAGAAAAACUCCAGUUGUAAAUUAGAGUAAAUGAUGAAAAAACUUUCAUUUUUGGGUGAACGAUCUCUUCAGGCUGGAG